AAUAUGAAUACGAGCUGCUCCUCGACAGCUGUUAGUCAGGCGGACCUUCCGAUCAGUAUAACUUGGUUAAAAAACGGGACAUUCAUCCCUGGUGCUACCCUGUCAACCAACGGUCUCGUGACGACUAGCGAAGUUUCCAUCCCUAUUACAUCACGGCCUGAAAUGGUUCGUGCCACCAUUACCUGUCAAGCAAGCAACAGCAACGGCCAGAUGUCUCAUCUGAAACCAUCUUUGAUGUCAGACAAAAACCAAUCGUCCCAAAUAUAAUCCCUGUCGGCGGGGCGACUUAUUUCGAUGAAGGUACAACAGGAACAUGGACAUUGAAUGUGACUCACGCUUACCCUAGUGUAAUACAGUACACUUGUUACGUAAAUGGUAAUGUGAUCACCGUCUCAGAAAGCAGAGGCACAAAUGGCGACGACAAUACCUACAAUCUACUAAUUACUAUUACACGAGCUCUGAUCUCAGCUGAUCACAACGUGGCCAUCACAUGUGACAUCAAUCAUGACACCUUCCCCGAGCCAGAUAAAAAAACUACGAGGACGGCCUUCAUGAUCGUACGGCACAAACCCGGACAACCAAGCGUCAAUACCAGUUUUGGUACUUCCGGGGUGAAUGAGAAUACCAAUAUCCAUGGUUACUGCUCGUCAAGGGGCGGUUUUCCUACUCCAAGCGUAACUUGGUCUGGACCUUCCAGCAUGUCCCUCUCAUCCGCAUCUCAAGGUGACCUUGUAAUCAGCAGAUUUGACAUCGUCGCUACUGUUGAAUUGAUUGGCCAGAUAUUCACCUGCACUACUUCAAACGUAAUGGGAUCUUUCAGUGCCUCAGGGACUCUGUCGCAAG